GGUGUAUUUAUUGUUUACCUUAAAUCCAUUUUUUUUUUUGAGACAGAGUCUCACUUUGUCGCCAGGCUAGAGUGCAGUGGCACAAUCUUGGCUCACUGCAACCUCUGCCUCCCGGGUUCAAGCGAUUCUCCUGCCUCAGCCUCCCAAGUAGCUGGGACUACAGGUGCGUGCCACCACGCCCAGCUAAUUUUUAUAUUUUUAGUAGAGACCGGGUUUUACCAUGUUGGCUAGGGUGGUCUCACUCUCUUGACCUCAUGAUCCGCCCACCUCAGCCUCCCAAAGUGCUGGGAUUACAGGCAUGAGUCACCACGCAGGGCCUGAAAUCCAAAUUUAACAGGAUGUCUUUUACUUUUAUUUGCUACCCUACCCCUACUUCCAUCUCCAAGUAUAGUUUCCUUGAUGGCAAAACAUGUUUCUCACUGGUCUCUGAAUCCCUGAAACUAGCCCAGUGCACGACAGUUCAUGCUCGGUUAAUAUGAAGAGAAGGCAACUUAUCUGGCUGCAGCGCUGAGAAUGGUUGGAGGGAGUUGUGACUGGAGACAGUGAGACCAGGUAGGAGGAUGAGGAAUAAACCAUCCAAAAAAUUAUGAAGGCUUCAGCAGAAUAGCACUGGGGAUAGGGAAAGGGGAUGGAUCUGCAGGAUCUAAGGAUUUGGUGACCAAUGCUUAAGGGACAUGACAGAGCUUAAGGAGCCUAGGAGAUUGCCCAAGUUUCUGGCUGUGUCACUGGAUGAGGUUGGUGCACUCACUGAGCAGGGAACACUGGGGAGGGUCUGGAAGCUGGACAGCAGGGAAGCUCAUUGAUGUGAGGAGCAGAGCAGGCUGGAGAAGGGUGGACAGCAGAUCUGAAGGAGGAAACGGAAGACAUCCAGUAUGGAUAUGUUAAGCUUGAUGUCUCCCAGGAUAUACAGAUAGAGGUAUUGGAAUUACAGACUUGGGGCUCAGGUGAAUGUUCUAGGCUGGAGAUAAAAUGUGAGCAUGGUUAGCAUGGAGGUGGUAACUGAAACCACGGGAGUAGACAGUGCUGCUCAGGGAGAGAGUAGAAUGGGAAGAGGAGAGAGAGUCGGUAUCAGAGCUCUGAGGAACAUGAGAGGCAGAGAGAGGAAGAGGAACUCAGAAGUCGUCUGAGAACAAGCCUCUGGAGGAGUGGAAGGAGAACCCGGAGAGUAUUGGACCAAGAGAGUCACGGGAAGACAGGUUUUCAAGGAGGACUGACACUAUCGAAUGCUUCUGAGACUUCAAAGGACUAAAUGGCCUUUGGCUUUAGUAUUGACCAGAGUCACCUGUGGCCCCAGGAGCUACAAUGUGCCACCUGGUGACAGGUUAUAGCUACUAUGUGGUAAACAGAGGAGGGAAGGUGGAACUAAGGAUCCCGAAUCCGUUUGGAGGCAGAGAGGGGCCAACAGGGUGUUUGAAGGGAGCAAAGGCAUCGAAAUUUUUGGAGCAUCUAGAACUGGGGCAGUGAAUGCAGAAGAGUGGGAGCACACACACGUUUCUCCUCCUUGACCCAGAAUGGGCACAGCCUUCAGAGAGCUCUUGCCAGCUCCUCACUCUAGCCUGGGUGAAGGGGGCAUCUGUGCCAAAGCAGGAAGGCACACAGGCGGAUUGGAAGGAAUUUCUCUCAGCAGCGUCAAAUGCCUGAGGGAUCUCGCCCUCGACCCUCUCCAUCUCUCAUGGUACUCUCAUUCACCCCCGGCUGCAGCUCCUGCCUCUGUGCUGACAGCUGUCACAUCAAUCCAGCCCAGACCUCCCUCGGCAGCUCUAGACCAGCAGAUCCCACUGCCUCCUGACAACCCCUCUGGAUGUCCCACAGUUCCUCAGACUUAGCAUCCUUUCCAAAUCCAUGCCCCCAUCUCAUUUCCAAAAAAGAAAAAUCAUAGAGGCCUCCCCAAUACAAAUGCAUAGGACAUGGGAAACAAGGUUUGAAAGGAUAUCCAGAAAAGCUUAGGGAUAGCCCUGGCCUUUUGGAGGUGACUUGGGGGUGGUAUGAGAGGCCAGAGUCAGCAGUAACUUCUCCUUUCUUCCCCACGAAGGUGUGGACUUCUUAGCUUCCUGUCCUUUUCGUACCAUUUGCCAAAUUGAAUUUAAAUAAUUAUUACUGUAAUUGCUUACUUAUUGUCUGUCUCUCCUGGUUGAAGCUUCUCAAGGGCAGGGAUCAUGUCUGUUUCACUUCUGUAUCCUUGGCAUCUGUCAUAUAAUCAGUAUCUGACAUAUAAUAGGUGCUU
ensembl:lncRNA LINC02918 long intergenic non-protein coding RNA 2918